CCUACGGGGUGCAGCAGUCGAGAAUCAUUCACAAUGGGGGAAACCCUGAUGGUGCGACGCCGCGUGGGGGAAUGAAGGUCUUCGGAUUGUAAACCCCUGUCAUGUGGGAGCAAAUUAAAAAGAUAGUACCACAAGAGGAAGAGACGGCUAACUCUGUGCCAGCAGCCGCUGUAAUACAGAGGUCUCAAGCGUUGUUCGGAAUCACUGGGCGUAAAGCGUGCGUAGGCUGUUUCGUAAGUCGUGUGUGAAAGGCGCGGGCUCAACCCGCGGACGGCACAUGAUACUGCGAGACUAGAGUAAUGGAGGGGGAACCGGAAUUCUCGGUGUAGCAGUGAAAUGCGUAGAUAUCGAGAGGAACACUCGUGGCGAAGGCGGGUUCCUGGACAUUAACUGACGCUGAGGCACGAAGGCCAGGGGAGCGAAAGAGAUUAGAUACCCCUGUAGUC
rnacentral:rRNA from 1 species